UUACGGCCGUAUCGCGUUGAAUCACCGGUUUCCAUACGAUCAUUUAAGCAACGACGAGCUUGGUCAGUACCAAGAUGGGUGAACGCCUGGGAAUAGCAGGUGCUGUAGG